UCCUGGUUAGCUCAGUUGGUAGAGCGCUCCACUAGAAACGGAGAGUUCCCUGGAUCGAUGCCAGGACGAGGCG
rfam:Ixodes scapularis strain Wikel colony gcontig_1108379739378, whole genome shotgun sequence.